rnacentral:rRNA from 1 species
UUAAGUCUUGACGAGUAAGAGGGUCGCGGCGGUGAGCGCAGAAGGGUCAGGGCGAGAGCCUGCCUGGAGCCGCCGUUGGUGCAGAUCUUGGUGGUAGUAGCAAAUACUCUAGCGAGGGCCUGGAGGACUGACGUGGAGAAGGGUUUCUUGUGAACAGCCGUUGCACAAGAGUCAGUCGACCCUAAGCCCUAGGAGAAAUCCGAUGCCGAUGGGUGGCUUAACAUGCAUAAAGUGACUUGUCACUGUGCAAAACACAGACCACAGACUGUGACUGUCGAUGCUUGCACGACUGAACAGCUCCUGUUGGGCAAAAGGGAAUCCGGUUCCUAUUCCGGAACCCGGCUGCGUAACCGCCACUUUGCGGGCACUCGCUCGCGAGCGCUCGUCGGGGUAACCCAAACUGGCCCGGAGACGCCGGCGGGAGGUCUGGAAAGAGUUUUCUUUUCUUUAUAAGCGUUCGAGUACCCUGGAAUCCUAUAGCAGGGAGAUAGGGUUUGGAACGCGAAGAGCACCGCAGUUGCGGCGGUGUCCGGACCUUCCCCCCGGACCUUGAAAAUCCGGGUGAGGGCCACGCGGAAGUCGCGCCGG